rnacentral:rRNA from 1 species
CCUACGGGUGGCAGCAGUGGGGAAUAUUGGACAAUGGGCGGAAGCCUGAUCCAGCAAUACCGCGUGUGUGAAGAAGGCCUGAGGGUUGUAAAGCACUUUCAAUAGGGAGGAAAAAGGGUUGGUUAAUACCCAGUCUAUUGACAUUACCUAUAGAAGAAGCACCGGCUAACUCCGUGCCAGCAGCCGCGGUAAUACGGAGGGUGCGAGCGUUAAUCGGAAUUACUGGGCGUAAAGCGUGCAUAUGCGAUGGGAAAGCCCCGGGCUUAACCUGGGAACUGCAUUUAAAACUGGCCAGCUAGAGUUAGGUAGAGGGGAGUGGAAUUUCAGGUGUAGCGGUGAAAUGCGUAGAUAUCUGAAGGAACACCAGUGGCGAAGGCGGCUCCCUGGACCCAAACUGACGCUGAGGUACGAAAGCGUGGGUAGCAAACAGGAUUAGAUACCCUGGUAGUC